rnacentral:rRNA from 1 species
UUUCUGACCUAUCAGCUUUAGACGGUAGGGUAUUGGCCUACCGUGGCGAUGACGGGUAACGGGGAAUUAGGGUUCGAUUCCGGAGAGGGAGCCUGAGAAACGGCUACCACAUCUAAGGAAGGCAGCAGGCGCGCAAAUUACCCAAUCCUAAUACAGGGAGGUAGUGACAAGAAAUAACAAUACAGGACUUUUUGGUUUUGUAAUUGGAAUGAGUUAAGUAUAAACCCCUUUACAAGUAUCAAUUGGAGGGCAAGUCUGGUGCCAGCAGCCGCGGUAAUUCCAGCUCCAAUAGCGUAUAUUAAAGUUGUUGCAGUUAAAAAGCUCGUAGUUGGAUUUCUGUUAAUAAUUUAUAUAAAAUAUUUUGAUNNNGAAUAUUUNNAUAUAACAUUAACAUAANNUUCAUAUUACUANNNNNNNNUAUUUNUUUNNNAGUAUAUGAAAUUUUACUUUGAGAAAAUUAGAGUGCUUAAAGCAGGCAUAUGCCUUGAAUACUCCAGCAUGGAAUAAUAUUAAANGAUUUUUAUCUUUUUUNNAUUGGUUCUAAGAUAAGAAUAAUGAUUAAUAGGGACAGUUGGGGGCAUUUGUAUUUAACAGUCAGAGGUGAAAUUCUUAGAUUUGUUAAAGACAAACUAAUGCGAAAGCAUUUGCCAAGGAUGUUUUCAUUAAUCAAGAACGAAAGUUAGGGGAUCGAAGAC